rnacentral:snoRNA from 1 species
CUAGUGCAAAAUAAAAUGGUAAUGCGGCAGUUGAAACAGGUGCUAACAGCAGUGGAUCUUGUCGCCUUUGGGGGCUGUCACUGUGCCCCUCAAAGUGAAUUGGAAGGUUCUACACUC